GUAGGCCCUUCGGGGUACACGAGCGGCGAACGGGUGAGUAACACGUGAGCAACCUGCCCCUGACUCCGGGAUAAGCGGUGGAAACGCCGUCUAAUACCGGAUACGACCCGCCACCUCAUGGUGGAGGGUGGAAAGUUUUAUCGGUCAGGGAUGGGCUCGCGGCCUAUCAGCUUGUUGGUGGGGUAACGGCCUACCAAGGCGAUUACGGGUAGCCGGCCUGAGAGGGCGACCGGCCACACUGGGACUGAGACACGGCCCAGACUCCUGCGGGAGGCAGCAGUGGGGAAUAUUGCACAAUGGGCGAAAGCCUGAUGCAGCGACGCCGCGUGGGGGAUGACGGCCUUCGGGUUGUAAACCUCUUUUACCACCAACGCAGGCUCCACGUUCUCGUGGGGUUGACGGUAGGUGGGGAAUAAGGACCGGCUAACUACGUGCCAGCAGCCGCGGUAAUACGUAGGGUCCGAGCGUUGUCCGGAAUUAUUGGGCGUAAAGAGCUCGUAGGCGGCAUGUCGCGUCUGCUGUGAAAGACCGGGGCUUAACUCCGGUUCUGCAGUGGAUACGGGCAUGCUAGAGGUAGGUAGGGGAAACUGGAAUUCCUGGUGUAGCGGUGAAAUGCGCAGAUAUCAGGAGGAACACCGGUGGCGAAGGCGGGUUUCUGGGCCUUACCUGACGCUGAGGAGCGAAAGCAUGGGGAGCGAACAGGAUUAGAUACCCUGGUAGUCCAUGCCGUAAACGUUGGGCGCUAGGUGUGGGGACUUUCCACGGUUUCCGCGCCGUAGCUAACGCAUUAAGCGCCCCGCCUGGGGAGUACGGCCGCAAGGCUAAAACUCAAAGGAAUUGACGGGGGCCCGCACAAGCGGCGGAGCAUGUUGCUUAAUUCGACGCAACGCGAAGAACCUUACCAAGGUUUGACAUCACCCGUGGACCUGUAGAGAUACAGGGUCAUUUAGUUGGUGGGUGACAGGUGGUGCAUGGCUGUCGUCAGCUCGUGUCGUGAGAUGUUGGGUUAAGUCCCGCAACGAGCGCAACCCUUGUUCCAUGUUGCCAGCACGUAAUGGUGGGGACUCAUGGGAGACUGCCGGGGUCAACUCGGAGGAAGGUGGGGACGACGUCAAGUCAUCAUGCCCCUUAUGUCUUGGGCUGCAAACAUGCUACAAUGGCCGGUACAAUGGGCGUGCGAUACCGUAAGGUGGAGCGAAUCCCUUAAAGCCGGUCUCAGUUCGGAUUGGGGUCUGCAACUCGACCCCAUGAAGGUGGAGUCGCUAGUAAUCGCGGAUCAGCAACGCCGCGGUGAAUACGUUCCCGGGCCUUGUACACACCGCCCGUCACGUCAUGAAAGUCGGCAACACCCGAAACUUGUGGCCUAACCC
rnacentral:rRNA from 1 species